rnacentral:rRNA from 1 species
GUGGGGAAUUUUUCGCAAUGGGCGAAAGCCUGACGAAGCAACGCCGCGUGGAGGAUGAAGGCCUUCGGGUCGUAAACUCCUGUCGACCGGGACGAAAGUAGGAUGGCCUAAUACGCCGAUCUAUUGACUGUACCGGUGGAGGAAGCCACGGCUAACUCUGUGCCAGCAGCCGCGGUAAUACAGAGGUGGCAAGCGUUGUUCGGAAUUACUGGGCGUAAAGGGCGCGUAGGCGGCUUGGUCAGUCCCGUGUGAAAUCCCUCGGCUCAACUGAGGAACUGCACGGGAAACUGCCUGGCUUGAGUUCGGGAGAGGGAAGCGGAAUUCCGGGUGUAGCGGUGAAAUGCGUAGAUAUCCGGAGGAACACCGGUGGCGAAGGCGGCUUCCUGGACCGACACUGACGCUGAGGCGCGAAAGCUAGGGGAGCAAACGGGAUUAGAAACCCGAGUAGUCC